CCUACGGGAGGCAGCAGUGAGGAAUAUUGGUCAAUGGCCGUAAGGCUGAACCAGCCAAGCCGCGUGAAGGAAGAAGGAUCUAUGGUUUGUAAACUUCUUUUAUAUGGGAAUAAAGUUAUCCACGUGUGGAUAUUUGCAUGUACCCUAUGAAUAAGCAUCGGCUAACUCCGUGCCAGCAGCCGCGGUAAUACGGAGGAUGCGAGCGUUAUCCGGAUUUAUUGGGUUUAAAGGGUGCGUAGGUUGUUUGUUAAGUCAGAGGUGAAAGUUUGUGGCUCAACCAUAAAAUUGCAGUUGAAACUGGAAGGCUUGAGUGUAGUAGAGGUAGGCGGAAUGCGUGGUGUAGCGGUGAAAUGCAUAGAUAUCACGAAGAACUCCGAUUGCGAAGGCAGCUUACUAGACCAUAACUGACACUGAGGCACGAAAGCGUGGGGAUCAAACAGGAUUAGAUACCCUAGUAGUC
rnacentral:rRNA from 1 species